rnacentral:rRNA from 1 species
AGUAAUGCUUGGGAAUCUAGCUUAUGGAGGGGGAUAACUACGGGAGACUGUAGCUAAUACCGCGUAGUAUCGGAAGAUGAAAGUGUGGGACCUUCGGGCCACAUGCCAUAGGAUGAGCCCAAGUGGGAUUAGGUAGUCGGUGAGGUAAAGGCUCACCAAGCCGACGAUCUCUAGCUGGUCUGAGAGGAUGACCAGCCACACUGGGACUGAGACACGGCCCAG